AGCGAACGUUAGCGGCGGGCCUAACACAUGCAAGUCGCACGAGAAAGGGACUUCGGUCCUAAGUAAAGUGGCGGACGGGUGAGUAACACGUGGGUAAUCUGCCUUUCAGUGGGGGAUAACUGUCCGAAAGGAUAGCUAAUACCGCAUACGUCGGCGAGGUCUUCGGACUUUGUCGGGAAAACCGGCCUCUCCAUGGAAGCUGGUGCUGAAAGAGGAGCCCGCGGCCCAUCAGCUAGUUGGUGAGGUAAAAGCUCACCAAGGCUAAGACGG
rnacentral:rRNA from 1 species